rnacentral:tRNA from 1 species
AAGUUUUAAAUUUAAAAAAUAUUAAAUUGCAAAUUUAAAGAGAUAAUUUAAGUUAUUAAGACUUA